GGCUCCAUAGUGUAGUGGUUAGCACACCUGCUUUACACAUAGAAGGUCCUGGGUUCAAGUCCCAGGUGGAGCCA
rfam:Pteropus alecto contig106947, whole genome shotgun sequence.